UUGCUGGCUCUCUGUAACGACGCCAGGGUUUCCUGCUUCCACAUCCUCAGCUGCUGCACAGGAAUGGUGUCUCUGCUGAAAUGGUGUGUGAUGUAUCAUCUCUAACGAUAACAUCCUAAUGACAACAGUAAUGAUAUAUUUUUUUCAUGGUGGACAUUCCAGAGAAGGGAUUCAGAAGCAGCAAGCUGGACUGUCUCCAAUUGACUCAAGCUUCGUUCUUGGUGUUAAGGACAAGAGUGGGAAAACUGGUGAAGUGACAGGCUGGUCAGUGGUGAUGGACUGACUGCCUUUUAACUGGCAUCUGAAAUGAGCUGGACUACUCUGCUUUUCUCUCUCUGCAGAGCUUCAUUGAGAUGAGAGAAGAGCUGAGAUGCCUCUGAUGGUUUAUAUGGUUUUUGAGCACGUUGGAUAUUCACGGGGUGUGAGGAGAGCGCCAGGCUUAGGGCUUUGGUAGCAGAGGAGCUGAAUAACUCUGUGAGAAGCACUAGAAACACAGACACUUACUGCCCUGGUGGCGCUGGAAACCCUUCAUGGUUCCUGCUGAGUUGAGGUGCCUCAUCAGCCUCCUCUCCUCUCCAUUUGUGAUCCUGCUCAUGCCUGAAUCAAAUCCUGCUGUUACUCAUACUAGAAGAUGAAGAACUCUUGUGGUAUUUGGCUGUGCUGACAGGUAUUCAGUGAACAUGCUUGUGAUGAAAAAUGGUGGAAAUAAACCCAAGACUUGACUCUCUGCAUAACACCUCCCAAAUUUUCAGAGCUAUCAUCGGUUCAAAACCUAAAAUCUCUUCUUUAUUUUGCAAGGAAUUCAGUUAUAGGGAACAACUGCCUGCAAGAAAAAAAACAAGUCCAGCCUUGUCAGCACAGCCACGUGCAAUAUAUAGACUGACCAAAAAUGCUGGUAAAAAAA